GGGGAUGUCGCCAAGCGGUAAGGCACAGGACUUUGACUCCUGUAUGCGUAGGUUCGAAUCCUGCCAUCCCUG
rfam:Firmicutes bacterium CAG:170 genomic scaffold, scf47